ACUCCUACGGGAGGCAGCAGUGGGGAAUAUUGCACAAUGGGCGCAAGCCUGAUGCAGCCAUGCCGCGUGUAUGAAGAAGGCCUUCGGGUUGUAAAGUACUUUUCAGCAGUGAGGAAGGUGGGUAUGUUAAUAGCAUAUUCAUUUGACGUUAGCUGCAGAAGAAGCACCGGCUAACUCCGUGCCAGCAGCCGCGGUAAUACGGAGGGUGCGAGCGUUAAUCGGAAUUACUGGGCGUAAAGCGCAUGCAGGUGGUUGUUAAGUCAGAUGUGAAAGCCCGGGGCUCAACCUCGGAAUUGCAUUUGAAACUGGCAAACUAGAGUACUGUAGAGGGGGUAGAAUUUCAGGUGUAGCGGUGAAAUGCGUAGAGAUCUGAAGGAUACCGGUGGCGAAGGCGGCCCCCUGGACACGAUACUGACACUCAGAUGCGAAAGCGUGGGGAGCAAACAGGAUUAGAUCCCCUGGUAGGCUCUGC
rnacentral:rRNA from 1 species